rnacentral:rRNA from 1 species
GUUUAUCUAAUUUACUUUUUGUUGACAGGUCAAGAAUCCUCUAACUGGCUGCAACGCCUUAAGAUCGCAUUGGACUCUGCCUACGGACUGGAAUACCUGCACAAAUCCUGCAGCCCACCCUUGAUUCAUAGAGACGUGAAGACUGGAAAUAUCCUACUUACUUCAAAUCUGGAGGCAAAAUUAACGGAUUUUGGCUUUACAAGGGCUUUCAGCAGUGGUACGAGAACACACACAACCACCCAACCAGCUGGUACCCUAGGUUACCUGGACCCAGAGUACUACGCGACCUCUCAUCUGAGUGAGAAGAGUGACGUGUACAGCUUUGGCGUCGUUCUGCUGGUGCUCAUCACAGGCCAGCCAGCCAUCAUCAUCAUCAGCGACAUAGAGAGAACCAACAUCUCUCAUUGGGCACGCCACAGGCUCUCUGACAGUGCGACCGACCCGACGGUAAGAGGAGACUGCGACAUCAACUCUGUGUGGAAGGUGGCGGAGCUGGCCCUGCGGUGCACGGAGCACACAGGGCGGGACCGGCCGACGAUGGUGGAGGUUGUGGAGGGGAUCAAAGAGAGCUUGCAGCUGGAGACCUCUUUGCGCUCCAGGAGAUGCAGCUCGGAUGGAACAGGCGGUUCGGAGUUUUCGGACGGCGAGACUGUUGGUGCGCUGGAGACAGAACUAAUCGGAGAAACAUCAGCGCAUUAA